CAUCUCUCUCACAACUCACAUCUCACCAGAUCUCAUCCGCCCCCAACUCCAUGCUUUCUCUCUCCCAGGCGAUUUCUAGAUCUAGGGUUUCAAUAACCCUGAAUCGUUCAUUUUCUCUCAAUCCGACAGAAGAUCCAGUGGGGUUGACCUCUAGAAGAUCCACUGGGUUUUUCUCUAAUCGGCACAAGAUCCACUGUGGAUGACAUCUAGGUACCGUUAUAAAACCACAUCUAAUGUUUUUUGUUUGUUAUUUGAGUCUGAUUUGGAUCUGGUUAAAAUUCUGUUUGCGAGGCAAUGCUUGAACGGGUCUCUGACAUGAUGGAAAAGGAUUUGAUUCUUGUUGGUGCAACUGGUAUAAACCAUCUUCUCUGAGAUCGGUUGUUGCUUAUGUUAAUCCUCAUCGUCUUCUGUUCAGAUCUUGUUUUAAUACCGAUCUGCGAAAGUUUUGGAUGAUUCUGGAUUUGUUAUUGUGUUAGGAGAUGUCGUGUUCCUCAAGCCUGAACAGGGCUAUGAGGUUUUGAAGAGAGUUGUUGAUGUGAUUGGGCAAUAUGAUAGAAAAAAGCUUGAGCAAUUAAGCGGCUGCCACCUGCUGCUGUUGUUGAAGGUUUCUGUAUGCAUUAUGGCUUUGCAUUGAUGACGGUUGAUGUAAAUUCAGAGAAUGAAACUGCGACUGAAUUUGGUUUUGUGGCAGCGAUUGACCGAUGACAUUUUGUCGAUUCAGUUGUUGACUUGGAUCGGUCAACUGUUGAUGAGGCUACAUCAUCGAGGCUAAUGGGCUCAUGGUGAUGGCUUGUGGCAGUUUCUGUAACAGGUCAAGUGGCAUUGUUGACCUUUGACUAUUGAACUGCAAGUUGUUU